ensembl:lncRNA
UUCAUUUCUUUAAAAAGGUAAUGAGCUGCAACUCACUAAAGUGAUGUCACUGCUGCCAUCACAAACAGAGUCCUGUUCUGACAGGACUUCUAUGCACGGCCUUGUCUUCAUUGAAGAUCCCUGAAAUUUGUCCUGUGGGAAGCCAGGGCUUGGGGACAUUGGAGGGAUAUGCCCGCUGCACACCUGAUGAAGUUGGGAGGAAAGUUCUAUGCCAGUGCACUUGCCUCCUCCAAGUUUCAUCAUCAUUCACCAAGUGACAACUUGGGCAUCGGGCCUCCCGGUCACAAAAGAAGCUGGUAUUGUGGUAUAGCUGGUGCCUGGCAAUGUGCGGCUUCAAUCCUGUUACUUUAGGGAGGAGAACAAACUUCGGUGGACGACUGGCAAUCUCUGAGCAUAGCAUCCUGCCAGGCCUAGAUGGAUGGCAGUGAGAGGACCUGUAACGCUUGCUGCCAAGGAGCUUACAUGCUGGUGGGAAUGAAAACGGGAAUCAAGAGAAAUAAUUACAAAACAUAAAAGUUCAUGAAGAGCAUGAAGAUGAUGUGAUAAGAACAAGAAUGAAGUCUACUAGACAGAGAAACCCAAACCUCAAGGUCCCUGGAGGGACAGUGGGUGGGUGUGCCUGAUGCCCAUCCAGAGAGUAGAGCUGGAGCAGAGAGUGAAAGGGAGAGACAUGGGCUGGGGAUUCGGAGGAAACAGGGCAGGUCUGAAGGACUGGUAGCAUUGGUGAGGCAUUCUCAUGGGGAAUUACAGUGAGAAGGCAGUUUACUGGAAAUGACAGAUUUUCAAAGAUUCCCUAGUGGCUGCCACAGGGAGAAUAUAG